CUUAAAUGAAUUGACGGGGGCCCGCACAAGCGGUGGAGCAUGUGGUUUAAUUCGAUGCAACGCGAAGAACCUUACCAGGUCUUGACAUCCAGAGAACUUUCCAGAGAUGGAUUGGUGCCUUCGGGAACUCUGAGACAGGUGCUGCAUGGCUGUCGUCAGCUCGUGUCGUGAGAUGUUGGGUUAAGUCCCGUAACGAGCGCAACCCUUGUCCUUAGUUGCCAGCGGUUCGGCCGGGCACUCUAGGGAGACUGCCGGUGACAAACCGGAGGAAGGUGGGG
rnacentral:rRNA from 1 species